CAGUCGAACGCGUUGGCCCAAUUGAUUGAUGGUGCUUGCACCUGAUUGAUUUUGGUCGCCAACGAGUGGCGGACGGGUGAGUAACACGUAGGUAACCUGCCCAGAAGCGGGGGACAACAUUUGGAAACAGAUGCUAAUACCGCAUAACAGCGUUGUUCGCAUGAACAACGCUUAAAAGAUGGCUUCUCGCUAUCACUUCUGGAUGGACCUGCGGUGCAUUAGCUUGUUGGUGGGGUAACGGCCUACCAAGGCGAUGAUGCAUAGCCGAGUUGAGAGACUGAUCGGCCACAAUGGGACUGAGACACGGCCCAUACUCCUACGGGAGGCAGCAGUAGGGAAUCUUCCACAAUGGGCGCAAGCCUGAUGGAGCAACACCGCGUGAGUGAAGAAGGGUUUCGGCUCGUAAAGCUCUGUUGUUAAAGAAGAACACGUAUGAGAGUAACUGUUCAUACGUUGACGGUAUUUAACCAGAAAGUCACGGCUAACUACGUGCCAGCAGCCGCGGUAAUACGUAGGUGGCAAGCGUUAUCCGGAUUUAUUGGGCGUAAAGAGAGUGCAGGCGGUUUUCUAAGUCUGAUGUGAAAGCCUUCGGCUUAACCGGAGAAGUGCAUCGGAAACUGGAUAACUUGAGUGCAGAAGAGGGUAGUGGAACUCCAUGUGUAGCGGUGGAAUGCGUAGAUAUAUGGAAGAACACCAGUGGCGAAGGCGGCUACCUGGUCUGCAACUGACGCUGAGACUCGAAAGCAUGGGUAGCGAACAGGAUUAGAUACCCUGGUAGUCCAUGCCGUAAACGAUGAGUGCUAGGUGUUGGAGGGUUUCCGCCCUUCAGUGCCGGAGCUAACGCAUUAAGCACUCCGCCUGGGGAGUACGACCGCAAGGUUGAAACUCAAAGGAAUUGACGGGGGCCCGCACAAGCGGUGGAGCAUGUGGUUUAAUUCGAAGCUACGCGAAGAACCUUACCAGGUCUUGACAUCUUGCGCCAACCCUAGAGAUAGGGCGUUUCCUUCGGGAACGCAAUGACAGGUGGUGCAUGGUCGUCGUCAGCUCGUGUCGUGAGAUGUUGGGUUAAGUCCCGCAACGAGCGCAACCCUUGUUACUAGUUGCCAGCAUUAAGUUGGGCACUCUAGUGAGACUGCCGGUGACAAACCGGAGGAAGGUGGGGACGACGUCAGAUCAUCAUGCCCCUUAUGACCUGGGCUACACACGUGCUACAAUGGACGGUACAACGAGUCGCGAACUCGCGAGGGCAAGCAAAUCUCUUAAAACCGUUCUCAGUUCGGACUGCAGGCUGCAACUCGCCUGCACGAAGUCGGAAUCGCUAGUAAUCGCGGAUCAGCAUGCCGCGGUGAAUACGUUCCCGGGCCUUGUACACACCGCCCGUCACACCAUGAGAGUUUGUAACACCCAAAGUCGGUGGG
rnacentral:rRNA from 2 species